rnacentral:rRNA from 1 species
CCUACGGGAGGCAGCAGUGAGGAAUAUUGGUCAAUGGGCGGAAGCCUGAACCAGCCAAGUAGCGUGCAGGAUGACGGCCCUACGGGUUGUAAACUGCUUUUAUACGGGAAUAACGCGCCUUACGUGUAGGGCUUUGCAUGUACCGUAUGAAUAAGGACCGGCUAAUUCCGUGCCAGCAGCCGCGGUAAUACGGAAGGUCCGGGCGUUAUCCGGAUUUUUUGGGGUUAAAGGGAGGGUAGGGCGCAUGUCAAGCGUGCUGUGAAAUGUUCGGGCUCAACCCGGGCCGUGCAGCGCGAACUGGCGUGAGUGAGUCCGCGGAAAGCAGGCGGAAUUCGUCGUGUAGCGGUGAAAUGCUUAGAUAUGACGAAGAACCCCGAUUGCGAAGGCAGCUUGCUGCAGCGGAACUGACGCUGAUGCUCGAAAGCGCGGGUAUCGAACAGGAUUAGAUACCCCAGUAGUC